ensembl:lncRNA
UUUUUCAAAUAAAAAAUAGUUAUUUCAAAUUGUAAUAUGCAGGGCAUCUCUGUUUAGGUUACGAGGGCACUUUUUUGAACAUAAAGGAGUGGUUAUGAUAUCGAAAUUAAUGGGAAGUGUGACAAUGCAGUCAGAAAUAGAAAGUGUUCAGUUGUAUCAGGACAAUUAUAACAGUUGCAUCGGGGGGUGGAGAUUAAAGACAGUAUAUUAAGCUUGCAUUACUUAUGUUAGGUUACUUCUCAGUAGUCACUUUUCUGGCAUUAGGUUUGGUAGCAAAAAAACUUAAAAAGAUGUUUCAGUUUAUUAUAUUUAUUGGAUUGGCUUUACUGAUUGGUAGAUCAAUACCAACAGCUGCAGAAACAUCUAUCGCUCCAUCAACAAGAACAACAGCCCCUGAACUAACAUGUAUAAUAGCUACAGCAGCAUCUAUAGUUCGAUUAACAAAAAAUCCUGCAUCAACAUGUAUAUCAGCUACAGCAACAUCUACAGCUCGAUCAUCAACCACAACCCCUGCCCCACAGUCUACAUCUCGCUCAGCAGUCACUGAACCAACAUCUACAACUCAAUCAAGACCACCUGCACCAACUUUAAGUUCAACUGUGCUAACAUCAACCACUCUGUUAUCAACUGCAUCAACAUCGAUAUCAGCUGCAGUAACAUCUACUUCUCAAAAGACAGCUCAACUUACAUAUACAACUCAACCAGCUUCUGUCCCACAAAAUAUGACAGCAUUAGCUUCUGCAACUUUCAAAUUGAGAUGCUUUGCUGAGCUGAGCAAUGAUGAAAUCAUUACGUAUAUUGAAAAGUUUGUCAAGCACUUUCAAUCAAGCAUUAGUGGGACCAUCAAGAUUACUGUGAGGAAAUCAAGAAAACUGUUGGCAUAAGGAUCUGAUGGAAAACUUGUGACUUUCCUCUGUAUACUUGCAGUUUUACUGUUGUAAUUAAACAAUACUAUACAUUGAACACAUAUUAUUGUUGCACCUUUCCUAUACAAAGUAAAAAAUAAAAAUAAAAAAAAAUACUCUGAAACA